ACGACUCUCGGCAACGGAUAUCUCGGCUCUUGCAUCGAUGAAGAACGUAGCGAAAUGCGAUACUUGGUGUGAAUUGCAGAAUCCCGUGAACCAUCGAGUCUUUGAACGCAAGUUGCGCCCGAAGUCUUUUAGACCGAGGGCACGUCUGCCUGGGCGUC
rnacentral:rRNA from 1 species